ACAAAGAAGACAUUUCCCGAAAACAAUGUGCUCAUGAGAAGUUAUUAAAAUAACGGAGAUUGAAUCAUAUAAAGGAGUUACUGGCUAAAACAACGAACAUGUCGAUGAAGGCGAUUUAAUCCUGGAGAAAUCCUCCUUCAAGAAACAGGGGAGGAACUUCAGCGAGAAGAGAGAAGAAUAGGCUUCCGGACAGACCGAGACAGAUUGAGAUGAAUUUAUUGGAGCAGCAGACAAGAGCUCAGAAAAGACUCGAGUCAGCCUGAUGAUUGAAUAUUUCGAACAAAUGCCCCCGGUUUGACCCUUUGACCCCUGACUGCAGUCAAGCACACAGUCCAGUCUGGAGAUAGAGACGGACAGGCGACUGAUGGAGGCUUCUUGGUCAAACAUUACUAUCAUGUCAGAUCAUGUGUGGCAAACGAAGAUGUUGAACCGGGAAGACGUCAAACUCUCUGAAAUCAGGAUCUUCCUGCGGCCUCCUCCUCAUCCUCCUGCUCCUCCUCCUCCUCCUCCUCCUCCUCAUCCGAUGCCCCUUGGCUCGGGGACCGGUCUGCAGUGGAGUCUUUUUGUUGUCUGGUCCCUGGAUGAUAUGACGGUGCAGAGAAUGUGUGUUGAGCCGAAGCUGCUGUUUUUGGGCGUCUGUGGAGGUGUCUGAGGAGAAUCUGGAGACUUCUGCGCUGCUGUGAGUCUGACCUAAAACUUUCAGUUGAAGAAACAUCACCAGCUCUGUCCGUCCAUGAAGAUCAAGUGGUGUCCUGCUCUGAGAUGAUCGUUUUGGAUGAACUGAUGACAAGUGAACGUUUCUGAGUUCCCAGACCUACAUUUCAAGCCUCUUUUAAAGUCUUCCCCUUCAAAUCAUCGGCUGCUUUACUGACAGGGAAACCAAGUUUUUACUGCCGAGGUACUCACUAAACCUGCUCAGGAGGCCACGCUAAACUAAAGUUUUCACUUCAAACAUCUUUAUACACUUUGACCGAACUGGACAAAAACUGUAGUCUUUUGGUUCAUCUUAGAUGUUCAGAAGAGUUUUGUAAAGCUCAGCUGGUGAAGCUCAUUAGAGCAUCACUUCCUUGUCUCAUUUUAGACGGGUACUACUGAUAAUCAGUUUACACACACAUGUGAUGCAGUUACACACUCUCUCACUAAUUCCUGUCCAGGUUAAUGAUGUGGACUAGAACUUAGAAUGGAUUGUACCACUGCUAUGACAUUAUUAUACUCUUACAUUACAAAGGGUUUUAGUUACGUUUGGGGGAAAUAGAUGUUACACGGUAGUCAUGAAGAACAACAACAAUAAAGUGUCCCAGAGGGAUGUCAUUCGGGGCAUGAACGUGAUUGUUUACAUCCUGAGAAUUUAAAAUGCUAUUAAUAGUAUGUGGAGAUACAAUAAGAAACAUUAUUAUUUAGAUUAUAGUGUUCUGUUUUACUCUGAAUCUCUACAACCUCAGCCCAGUUUGGAUACGGAUAGAUGAAGUUGAGUUCAUUUAAAUACAGUGUUCAUGGUGAUAAUAAAACAACCGUUUAGGAGCCCUUUCUGCUAACAUGCAGAUCCGUAUUAAAAAGCUGUGCACUGGGAUUUAAGAGAAAUCUCUAAAGACCGAGGCCUGCAUUCACAAAACACUUUCUUACCACUAAGAGAUCUCUUAAAUAGUUUUUAGCUAAGUUUACUUUUCAAAAACAGCUGAGACCAUCUUUUACUGAGAAAUAGAGAGAAGUCUUGACCUGAAGUGACCUCGUCGCCGUGGAUGAUGUCAGCAGGCUCACUAACUUUGCACACAGUGAUCGGCUGAUAGUCUCUGUCGGAGAUUUAUUCAUAGAAAUAUUGUAGAGAGCGCUAUUAUGGUCCCAUGUUCAAAUAAAAAUGCUAAUAGCCACAUUCAAAAAGAUUU